rnacentral:rRNA from 1 species
CUCGUAGGCGGCCAACUAAGUCAUACGUGAAAUCCCUCGGCUUAACCGGGGAACUGCGUCUGAUACUGGAUGGCUUGAGUUCGGGAGAGGGAUGCGGAAUUCCAGGUGUAGCGGUGAAAUGCGUAGAUAUCUGGAGGAACACCGGUGGCGAAGGCGGCAUCCUGGACCGAUACUGACGCUGAGGAGCGAAAGCCAGGGGAGCAAACG